rnacentral:lncRNA from 1 species
CCCAGAUGCACUAGAGCUCCAAGGCGGCCCCUCCCUGACGCCUUCACCGACAGGCCCACAGGUGCCCCGGCCACCCACACACCAGGGAGUGCCAGAGAACAGAGAUCAGGGAAUGUGGCCACACCUAGAGGCCAGCCAGGAGAGGCCGGGGAAGGAGGCCGCCCAGCCUCACCCUCCAGCACUCCAGGGCCUGGUGCCCCCUCAGCAGACCCCAGGACUCUGGCCUUCAGGGUGCACCUGAGGCCCCCUGAGGUCAUGCUGCUUGGAGCAAGUGAGACGGAGACGGAGGCCGACAGAAACCCACCCUGUACCCGGGGCCUCUGUGGGGCUCCACAGGGGGUGGCAUACCUGCUUCUCCCCGAUUGCGCCCUCGGCUCUGCCAGCAAGAGACAGGGCGAUGGGCACCCCAUCCUGGGAUCCUGGAGGCUGCGCCACUGGCUCUGCCCGAUGACAGGGUGUGGGGUGGGCAGGACAGCGGUGCUGGGACCUGCCUGUCUCUGUUCCCACCAGAAACCACAUCCCAUGCGUGGUGGGUGGCUGGCCUGAGGCCCCGGGUGUGGAGCGGAGGUGGACCAGAGGUGGACACAGACCCACGGGCCGCCAAGGCCCACCCAGGAUCCCCCGGGGGCCAUCCACAUCUGGUAAAGCCGAGGUGUGGGCGGACCCCAGGAAGCAGCCCCCACCCCUGCCCCCAGUGGCUCAGGCCUGGGCAGAGAAAACAGGCCCAGCAGGGCGGCAGGGUGGGAUCCCCACGAUUCACCGAGGAUGCGUCUUCCACAGGGAGAGUUUGGGGGAGCUGUGUGUGAAAAUGUGAGUAACGUACAUAAAUCAGUAUCACAGGAAUCCAGGCGGGCGGAGGAUGCAUGACUGAACUUGGAGGACGCUCAUCAGGGAGGUCAGUGCUCCCCUCCGGGGACAGGAUCCUGCCUUCGCCUGGCCUGCGGGACAGGGCUCCCCUUGCCGGCCAGGGGCUACUGGCCACUGAUGCUCACUUUGGGCUUCCGCCCCCCAGGGGAAGGGGUGCUGAGAGCCCCGUGUCCGGAGGGCUGGUGAGUGGGGCUGAGGCUGGUGGAGUGGGGGUGAGGCUGGUGAGUGGGGGUGAGGGUGGUGAGUGGGGGUGAGGGUGGUGAGUGGGGGUGAGGGUGGUGUGGGUGAGUGGUGAGUGGAGUGAGGGUGGUGAGUGGGGGUGAGGGUGGUGAGUGGGGGUGAGGCUGGUGAGUGGGGUGAGGGUAGUGGGUGGGGCUGAGGUUAUUCCAGCCUCGGGCACUGGAUCUUCUCGGGGUGGGGGGGUUUGUGAGCGCUGACCCCCUGGGCUGUCUCCACCUUGUCCUGGGGCUGGGUCCCCGGACGACGCGGCCACAGCUCCUGGGAGAGUGGCCAGCCCUCGGACAGCUGUGAGCCCCCACGGGGGUGUCUGGGUUCGAGGCCACGUUGCAGACCCGCUGGCUGCUGGGGCUCAGGGAGGAAAUGACCUGGCCUCCUGGAGCUUCAGAUUCCUCAUCUGUGUGCUGAGGGAAGGGGCACAUCUCGGAGCCUGGGGACUCCCGGCGUGUGGGCUGCUUGCCUGGCACCCGCUCACCCAGGAGUUGUCCUUGCUGUGGGCUCUGAGCCUCCGGGAUGGAGUGGGGCUGAGAGCGUGUCCACCACCUCCACCACAUCAGCCUGUCCCUGGUCCUGCUCCGCCAGAUGACAAAUCUCUGGGAAAUCUUCUUUAAUUUUGUUCUCUG